CGAACGCUGGCGGCAUGCCUAACACAUGCAAGUCGAACGAAGCCUUCGGGCUUAGUGGCGCCCGGGUGCGUAACGCGUGGGAAUCUGCCCCUUGCUUCGGAAUAACAGUUAGAAAUGACUGCUAAUACCGGAUGAAGUCUUCGGACCAAAGAUUUAUCGGCAAGGGAUGAGCCCGCGUAGGAUUAGGUAGUUGGUGGGGUAAAGGCCUACCAAGCCGACGAUCCUUAGCUGGUCUGAGAGGAUGAUCAGCCACACUGGGACUGAGACACGGCCCAGACUCCUACGGGAGGCAGCAGUGGGGAAUAUUGGACAAUGGACGCAAGUCUGAUCCAGCAAUGCCGCGUGAGUGAUGAAGGCCUUAGGGUUGUAAAGCUCUUUUACCAGGGAUGAUAAUGACAGUACCUGGAGAAUAAGCUCCGGCUAACUCCGUG
rnacentral:rRNA from 1 species